AAUUUUCGGCAAUUGGGGCAACCCUGACCGAGCGACGACCCGUGAGUGAAGAAGGUCUUCGGAUUGUAAAGCUCUGUUGUAAGGGAAGAACCGUACCAGUCGGGAAUGACUGGUACCUGACGGUACCUUACCAGCAAGCCACGGCUAACUACGUGCUAGCAGCCGCGGUAAUACGUAGGUGGCAAGCGUUAUCCGGAAUUAUUGGGCGUAAAGGGAGCGCAGGCGGCUUAUGAAGUCUGAGGUUAAAGUUCGGGGCUCAACACCGUGAUGCCUUAGAAACUGGUAGGAUAGAGUGCAGGAGAGGUGAGUGGAAUUCAAUGUGUAGCGGUAAAAUGCGUAGAUAUAUGGAGGAACACCAGUGGCGAAGGCGGCUCACUGGCCUGUAACAGACGCUGAGGCUCGAAAGCGUGGGGAGCAAAUA
rnacentral:rRNA from 1 species